UUUUUUUUUUUUUUUUUUUUUUUUUUUUUUUUUU
rnacentral:ribozyme from 3 species